rnacentral:lncRNA from 1 species
CCACAUGGCCUCGAGCGGCUAGCGGUGGGACCUCACUCGCGCUGUCUGCUUGGGGGCAGGAAGUGGCCCUCUCCUCCGCUCUGAGAGCGUUUCCGGAGCGCCUACUGUGUGCUUGUUGCUAGGGUGGGGCGUUACAAGGAAAGAAAGUGCCAGACCCGACCUUAGUAAGCGUGCUCGCUGCAGCGGUCCUCGGGCUGGCGCUGGGAAACUGAGGGACACUUAGUCCUGAGAACCUCCAGUUGGUAAGGGACAGUUCAGGAUGCGAUGGCUCUUCGGUCCCCCAGGGCCCACGGAGUCGAGAAGAAAGCCAUCUCCGAUAAAACCCCAAGCAGGUAGCCCAGUCACGCACUCGAGAGGCGACCGGGGGUGAUAACUGGCAGCGCUUAGGGAGCGUUGAUGACGCAGCCAGGCUGGCCCCGCGCUUCGUGGGCAUCAUCCCGUGCAGUUCUCCGGUUAUCUGGUUCACCUGGACUUCAUAAACGCCAGACUUCUUUACAAGUUGAGCAUGCUGUUGUCCGUCCCAAAUGUCAGUGAUACUACUCGGUGCUCUCUAUUGCACAUGUGGUCCAGGGUGGCAGCCAUAAUUUCUUGGCCAAGUUGUGCUCCAUCCACAGCCAUCUGAGAGAACAAGGGAGACCUGGGCACUACUAGGUAAGAAAGAGAAAACCAACUGGGCCCUGGCUACUGGGGCACGACAUGGAUGGGGCAUGGGCCUCUCCGAGUAGGAACCUAGGGGCCUUACCCAGUGAGCCUGGAAUCAUGACUGUCUCUGGCUGCUGAGGGAACUGGCACUAGCCAUUAUGCUGGCUGUGCUGAGAGCCAGACUCUGCCAUUUUG